rnacentral:rRNA from 1 species
UAAGUAAGCUUUGAUCCAGAGAUUUCCGAAUGGGGAAACCCAGCAUGAGUUAUGUCAUGUUAUCGAUAUGUGAAUACAUAGCAUAUCAGAAGGCACACCCGGAGAACUGAAACAUCUUAGUACCCGGAGGAAGAGAAAGAAAAUUCGAUUCCCUUAGUAGCGGCGAGCGAAACGGGAAGAGCCCAAACCAACAAGCUUGCUUGUUGGGGUUGUAGGACACUCUAUACGGAGUUACAAAGGACGACAUUAGACGAAUCAUCUGGAAAGAUGAAUCAAAGAAGGUAAUAAUCCUGUAGUCGAAAAUGUUGUCUCUCUUGAGUGGAUCCUGAGUACGACGGAGCACGUGAAAUUCCGUCGGAAUCUGGGAGGACCAUCUCCUAAGGCUAAAUACUCUCUAGUGACCGAUAGUGAACCAGUACCGUGAGGGAAAGGUGAAAAGCACCCCGGAAGGGGAGUGAAAUAGAACCUGAAACCGUGUGCUUACAAGUAGUCAGAGCCCGUUAAUGGGUGAUGGCGUGCCUUUUGUAGAAUGAACCGGCGAGUUACGAUUUGAUGCAAGGUUAAGCAGUAAAUGUGGAGCCGUAGCGAAAGCGAGUCUGAAUAGGGCGUUUAGUAUUUGGUCGUAGACCCGAAACCAGGUGAUCUACCCUUGGUCAGGUUGAAGUUCAGGUAACACUGAAUGGAGGACCGAACCGACUUACGUUGAAAAGUGAGCGGAUGAACUGAGGGUAGCGGAGAAAUUCCAAUCGAACCUGGAGAUAGCUGGUUCUCUCCGAAAUAGCUUUAGGGCUAGCCUCAAGUGAUGAUUAUUGGAGGUAGAGCACUGUUUGGACGAGGGGCCCCUCUCGGGUUACCGAAUUCAGACAAACUCCGAAUGCCAAUUAAUUUAACUUGGGAGU